GCGAACGCUGGCGGCAGGCCUAACCCCUGCAAGUCGAACGAACUCUUCGGAGUUAGUGGCGGACGGGUGAGUAACACGUGGGAACGUGCCUUUUGGUUCGGAAUAACUCAGGGAAACUUGUGCUAAUACCGAAUGUGCCCUUCGGGGGAAAGAUUUAUCGCCAUUAGAGCGGCCCGCGUCUGAUUAGCUAGUUGGUGAGGUAACGGCUCACCAAGGCGACGAUCAGUAGCUGGUCUGAGAGGAUGACCAGCCACACUGGGACUGAGACACGGCCCAGACUCCUACGGGAGGCAGCAGUGGGGAAUCUUGCGCAAUGGGCGAAAGCCUGACGCAGCCAUGCCGCGUGAAUGAUGAAGGUCUUAGGAUUGUAAAAUUCUUUCACCGGGGACGAUAAUGACGGUACCCGGAGAAGAAGCCCCGGCUAACUUCGUG
rnacentral:rRNA from 1 species